GUGAGGAAUAUUGCGCAAUGGACGAAAGUCUGACGCAGCCAUGCCGCGUGAAGGAUUGACGGCCCUAUGGGUUGUAAACUUCUUUUGUAUAGGAAUAAACCCUCGUUCGUGAACGAGGCUGAAGGUACUAUAAGAAUAAGCACCGGCUAACUCCGUGCCAGCAGCCGCGGUAAUACGGAGGGUGCAAGCGUUAUCCGGAUUUAUUGGGUUUAAAGGGUCCGUAGGCGGAUCGUUAAGUCAGUGGUGAAAUCCUACCGCUCAACGGUAGAAAUGCCAUUGAUACUGGCGAUCUUGAGUAUGUAUGAAGUUGGCGGAAUGUGUGGUGUAGCGGUGAAAUGCUUAGAUAUCACACAGAACACCGAUUGCGAAGGCAGCUGACUAAUACACAACUGACGCUGAGGGACGAAAGUGUGGGGAUCAAACAGGAUUAGAAACCCGGGUAGUCC
rnacentral:rRNA from 1 species